GUUUUCAUGUUAACUUGGUAACAACUAAUAGUAUUUUUACUUUUUUUAUUAUAAUUUUUUUUUUUUCCUAGCAUCUGCUUUGAACCCCCGCUUCAAAUGGCUACCCUUUCUAUAAAACAAGGAAAGAGAAUUGAACUUCAUUAAACUUACUGUUGAGGCCUCAAACAGUAUUCACAUGGAACAGCAGGAGGAUGCAGUUGAAGAGAAACCACCAGACUCAACUGAAGUUAUUUAUUUUAAUUUGUUAAUAAAGACUAAUCUGUAUAUUUUAAAGGAUGAGAUGCGUCCUGCAAAAAACCUGAAAGCCAUGGAUUUGCUCUUCGGCAACAGCUUUCAACAGUUUUCACCUGUCCUCUAUCCAGGUCUGCUAGUGAGAUCAGCAGAGAAGAGGUACUCAGAUACAGAUACAUGGCUCCUCUGCCACUGACUGAAAAUCCACUGGACUGGUGGAAGUCCCAUGAGACAGAACAACCAAUCCUUGCAAAUCUGGCAAGAAGUUAUCUCUGCCUGGUAUUAGUGCCAGUUGCACCAAGUAGGGCUCGCUGCAGCCUGCGGUGGACAUCCAACCCCGCCCACAUCCAAGUGUGACGUCAGAAGUCACGCCCAUCCCCGACACAACCCCGCCCACAUCCAAGUGUGACGUCAGAAGUCACGCCCAUCCUGACACAACCCCGCCCACGUCCAAGUGUGACGUAAACGAAAGCCACGCCCAUAUCAAAUACGUCUCCUCAUGUGAUUUCCCCA
ensembl:lncRNA